rnacentral:rRNA from 1 species
ACCUAAGAGAUUUGGCGGUAUUUGUUACUUAUUAGAGAAACUUGUUUUAAUAAUCGAUAAUCCUCGAAGUAUCUUACCUUUGUUUGUUGGUCAGUUUGUAUACCAUCAUAGAUGUAAUUUUUUAAAAAUAGAAAUUAUUUAGAUAGUUUAGCGAAAAAAUAUUAGAUCAAGGUGCAGCUUAUAUAAAGGAUAAAAUGAGUUGCAAUAAAUUAUUUUAAUAUAUGGAAUAUAAAAUGAAAUUUUUUUAUGAAAGUGGAUUUAAUUGUAAUUGAAUUUUAAUAAGAUAAAAUGAUAAUAGUUCUGAAAUAUGU